AAAGUGGAAUUCCGAGGAACCAGGAGAAGACACUGUGGUGUUGGUUGAAAUAACACUAGAGCUUCUCAAAGCCUUUUGCUACUGCACAUGGUGGAAAGUGUUGACAGAUUUACUUGGAGGGUCAUGGGGGAACAAGAACCUACGUGGGACAAGAGAUCCUCUUACUGUCAUGUUGAACUUCAGUAUUGCUUCAGCCUAAUGUUGUAUUCUGCUGAGGACUCUGUAAAUGGAAUCAAAAGUUUACAUGCCUGGCCACUGGAAAAGAGAAGCAGAACUGGAAGGCUGUCAGUGAGACAGCUGACCUCAGCUGAUCAGAGGCAUGCUCCAUGCCAUAUGCCAUCCUGGUGUAGCAAUAAAUCCUGGAGGAAGAAGCAGGAAGGAGAGGGAUGUUCAGAGUUACAGUGCUUGUCUGCCCACAUAGCCAUUCUGGAGCUCUGCUUUCCUGGAGAUGACUGAACACCUGCCUGUUGGUGGGAAAUGAUGUUCUCACUUUUAUCCUGGAAAUUCACUUCCCUGUCCCACUUGAGAAGAGUCAAGGAAUGGCUGUGUGGGAAUGAGCUACCUUUUGGGGUGAGUCUACACCCCCACCUUUCCCUACAGCAACUAGACUGGGCAUGUGUAAGAGUCUGGGAAGGGAGAGAGUCAGGACAACAGACUCGGACUGACCAGAGGAAUA